CCUAUUCUCAAACUUUAA
rnacentral:snRNA from 1 species